rnacentral:siRNA from 1 species
UUUGAUAGUACUGUUGGUCCCA